UAUGGGUAUAUAAGUAGGCCCCCGCGGCUUACAACGUCAGGAAUCUUAGUCUGAAUAAAUAGUACCACCUUUUCUAUUGGCAGUCCUUUACCCGAAAAAUUGUACUACCGACAAGCACACUACCGGACGAGCAAACGGGUCGAUCGCCGGCACCAAAAUUAAUUCCAAUUAAUUAACCCACAACACGAUAUCAAAGGUACUGUAAUCACAUGCAUGUGCCGCCAUGAAAUUGUAGAAUCAAAGGUACGGAAAGAGUUCCGACGUUUGGCUCCGGGUGCAUUGUCUGUCUCCCUAUAUCAUAAAAAAGAAAAGAAAUCCGGGUGCAUUGUCUGUCUCCCUAUAUUGUAAAAAAGAAAAGAAAUGGUCGAGUGCUAUUUUUCUUAAAACAAUAAGUUCAUUAAAAAAAAAGUCUAGAUGUGUAAGCAUAUGUCUGCUGCAUGCAGAGCUGUGAAGUUUCCUUAAUAAAUAUGUGCAUUUCUGUGCUACACAGAAAAUAACAAAUGUGAUAUUUUACAAGGGUGU
rnacentral:lncRNA from 1 species